GAUAUGAUAAUGAGUUAUCAGACUCCAAUUCAUGCUCCAAAUUCAUUAAGAACAACAGAUAGUGCCGGUUCUAACAAGGAAAUGUCCAUGAUAUCGACUCUGGCACUGAGUCCUCCCAACAGACUGUGUUACGACCGCCACUUCAAGCCUACAGAUGUAGCAGUUCAUACGAAGCAAAACAAGCACUCAAGAGGCAGAGGGAAAGUGCCCGGUAUGAGCAACAUAAACAAGGUAUAUUACAAAGCCUACAUGACAAACGGUGUCGAGCCAAAUCUACAGUAGUCCUUACAACUGGUGAACAAAAACAAUCUGACACAGUUGAUGAAGAUUGUGAUUGGCUACGAAGCAUCUACAAGUAAGGUUAGGUGGAAGUGUAUUCUUAGAGAAUGCAUGCAUCUAUAAGAUGAUAAAGAUCGGUUGAUAUCCGUCC